CCUACGGGAGGCUGCAGUGGGGGAUAUUGCACAAUGGGGGAAACCCUGAUGUAGCGACGCCGCGUGUGGGAAGACGGUCCUCUGGAUUGUAAACCACUGUCCCCAGGGACGAAGAUGACGGUACCUGGGGAGGAAGCUCCGGCUAACUACGUGCCAGCAGCCGCGGUAAUACGUAGGGAGCGAGCGUUGUCCGGAAUUACUGGGUGUAAAGGGAGCGUAGGCGGGGAUGCAAGUUGGGUGUCAAAACUACCGGCUCAACUGGUAGUCGCACUCAAAACUGCAGCUCUUGAGUGAAGUAGAGGCAGGCGGAAUUCCUAGUGUAGCGGUGAAAUGCGUAGAUAUUAGGAGGAACACCAGUGGCGAAGGCAUCUCACGAAUCCGCGAUUGACGCUGAUGCACGAAAGCGUGGGUAUCAAACAGGAUUAGAUACCCGAGUAGUC
rnacentral:rRNA from 1 species